GAGCGCCGUGUGCGAUGAAAGUCGCAUGCACGGUGCGGAGUGGGGGAAAACAAAGAAAACCGCAUAGCCGACAACGAC
rnacentral:ncRNA from 1 species